GUGAGUGAGUAGUGAGUGAGUGAGUGAGUGAGUGAGUGAGUGAGUGAGUGAGUGAGUGAGUGAGUGAGUGAGGGAGUGAGUGAGUGAGUGAUUGAGUGAGUGAGUGAGUGAGUGAGUGAGUGAGUGAGUGAGUGAGUGAGUGAGUGAGUGAGUGAGUGAGUGAGUGAGUGAGUGAGUGAGUGAGUGAGUGAGUGAGUGAGUGAGUGAGUGAGUGAGUGAGUGAGUGAGUGAGUGAGUGAGUGAGUGAGUGAGUGAGUGAGUGAGUGAGUGAUGAGUGAGUGAGUGAGUGAGUGAGUGAGUGAGUGAGUGAGUGAGUGAGUGAGUGAGUGCGUGAGUGAGUGCGUGAGUGAGUGAGUGCGUGAGUGAGUCUGUGAGUGAGUGAGUGAGUGCGUGAGUGCGUGAGUGAGUGCGUGAGUGCGUGAGUGCGUGAGUGCGUGAGUGUGCGUGUGCGUGAGUGAGUGCGUGAGUGCGUGAGUGAGUGCGUGCGUGCGUG
ensembl:lncRNA